GAAAUAGAAGAAACUGAAAUGUUAAGUACAACGUUUUAAUGCACUUGCAGAGUGUCUGCUAAAAAGCGUUCGAAGUCGAAACGUGACUGUGCUUUGUCUGAUACCGGUUUAUUGAACGUAUGGGUGUAUUCGGGCGUAGCUUGUGUCUCCAGCUGGCGAAGAAGCCUAAUUUAUAUCCCACAUGCCUUCACUGCUUCACGUGCACUGAAUGUGUCAUUGAAGAGCGACUACGCGACCAGCGAGACGGAAGGUGCUUUUGUCUUUCCUUCAUUUCAGCCUUACGCUUCCUCGCGGCACUGUAGCGCGUGCACGAUGGAUGCGGCCAGGGUCAUCAGUAGGUGUGUGGGGGGUGUGGUUAUGUUAAAAUUCCCUCUUCCUGGAAUACCGAACACCUAUGUCACUCUUGUGGAUGAUGAUAAAUUCAUCAGUCUUUGCAACAUCGGAGCAAGAGAAAUCCCACCAUGCUCUUCAGAGGGAAAAGGAUACCCAUGCCCAUCCAAUGAAACAUUUGUGUGCAUGGCUACAGGAGCGCUACACUAUGUCAGCAUGGAAACUCGCCACAACCAGAGUCUGCGUUUGGAAAGUGAGUUUCUUUCCAUGAGGAAAGAUCUUUUAGUGAAAGACUGCUCAUUCACGAGUACGAGUUUGAUUGCAAGUGAAGCCUUCACAAUCAUGGAACCCACAUGGCCACCUGGUAAGAGAUAGUAAAUCAAUAAAAUAGUUCAUAUUUUUCA
rnacentral:lncRNA from 1 species